rnacentral:rRNA from 1 species
AAUGAACGCUGGCGGCAGGCCUAACACAUGCAAGUCGAACGAGGUAGCAAUACCUAGUGGCGGACGGGUGAGUAACGCGUGGGAACGUGCCCCUUGGUACGGAAUAGCCCUGGGAAACUGGGAGUAAUACCGUAUGUGGUCGAGAGACGAAAGAUUUAUCGCCAAGGUAUCGGCCCGCGUUGGAUUAGUUAGUUGGUGGGGUAAAGGCUCACCAAGCCAACGAUCUGUAGCUGGUCUGAGAGGACGACCAGCCACACUGGAACUGAGACACGGUCCAGACUCCUACGGGAGGCAGCAGUGGGGAAUUUUGGACAAUGGGCGAAAGCCUGAUCCAGCCAUUCCGCGUGCAGGAUGAAGGCCCUCGGGUUGUAAACUGCUUUUGUACAGAACGAAAAGGUUUCUACUAAUACUAGGAGCUCAUGACGGUACUGUAAGAAUAAGCACCGGCUAACUACGUGCCAGCCGCCGCCGUAA